AAAAAAAAAAAAAAAAAAAAAAAAAAAACUUGUGCACCAUCUACCACCUACCUGACAGCUCAGAGUACUGUGCUCAAUCUACCACCUACAUGAAAGCUCGGAGUAACUGUGCACCAUCCACCACCUACCUGACAGCUCAGAGUACUGUGCAUCAGACAAAAAAAAAUAAAAAAUAAAAAUAAAAAAAAGAAAAAAAAAAAAAAAAAAAAAAACCUGUGCACCAUCCACCAGCUACCUGACAGCUCAGAGUACUGUGCACCAUCUACCAGCUACCUGACAGCUUCAAGUACUGUGCACCCUCCACCAGCUACCUGACAGCUUCAAGUACUGUGCACCAUCCACCACCUACCUGACAGCUCAGAGUACUGUGCAUCAGACAAAAAAUACAAAAAAAUAAAAAAAAAAGGUAAA